GCUCAAUGAAUUUAAAUAGCCGCAAUUAUAUUUGUGCUAAGGUAGCAUAAUCAUUUGUCUUUUAAUUAAAGACUAGAACGAAAGAUUUAACAUUUUAACUUCUAUUUAAUAUAUUUCAUUUUUAAUUUAUCUUAAAUAUAAAAAGAUAUUUAUAAUUAAAAAAGACGACAAGACCCUAUCUGAACUUUACUUUAGUUAAACUGGGGUAGUUAAUUAAUUAUAAUUUUAAUUAAAAUAAUAAAUAAAAUGACCUAAUUAAAUUAAAUAAAUGAUCAAGUUACCAUAGGGAUAACAGCGUAAUAAUUUUCUUAAGAUCUUAUUCAAAAAAUAAUUUACGACCUCGAUGUUGAAUUAAUUUUCUAAUAAUUGCAACCAAUUAUUUAAGAAAGUCUGUUCGACUUUUUAUAAAUUACGUGAUCUGAGU
rnacentral:rRNA from 1 species